GGAAGAUAAAGAUCUCGCCCUCCAGCCUGGAAACAAUCCCCACCUCUGAAUGUACUUUGCUCAAUGGACCAAUGGUCUGACUCAGAAUAAGGCAGAAUUCUACAUUCCCCCCAAAUGUAUGCAUCUGAGAUUGCUGGAGUGGACAGAACGAGGAGAGGCAAAUAAUGGAAAAUCCAAUUAGGGUAAGAAGUACUUAGAGUUUAUAUUCUGCAAAUGGUUGGGUCCCAUGUCAACAACACAGUGCAUGGACGGAAAGGUUCUUCCCCCUCCCUGCGGGCCGUUUUAUCCAUUUGCCGGAUUAAUAAUUCAAGGGAGAAGAGCCCAGCAGUGGCUCCACGAUGCUGUUGGCAAGGCUUUGAUGAGCAGGCCUCCAGCCGCUGGGACAUGCAUUUCCUGACCUCCUUUCUGCCACCGACUCAAAGGCAGCAGAGGACAGAUAUUGUUGAGGUGCAUUUUCCACUGGGGGGGCAGGGGAAGCCUUCCCAUGUGCCUCAAGCAGGCCAUCUGGCCAACGACAGGGGCUUCUGCCGCAGAGCCGCUUGGACAGAUGUGCAGAAGGAGGUGAAACUGGCCGAGGUUGAGAACCUUCUGACCUACACCUGACCCAGCCUGGCUAAUAUCCCAGCUGUUGUCUUGUUCUGAGAGGCAGGGCGGACAGGCAGGCUGCAUUUGGGCACAAGGAAGGCAAACAGGCAGUUUUCCAAGAGAGAAGGAAGAUGCAUUUUUUUUCCUUUUUGGUGUUGCUCUCUGACCUAGAAGCAGAUGAAGAAGAAGCAGCAGUAGCUUUGAGCUUUGGGAAGGGCCGAUAGCCAAAUCGUCUGACUGAGUAGAAGGCAGAUUCUUGUGACAGGCUUUCCCCCAGAGCUUUUCAGAGCUAACAGAUGACUUCUCUAUGGCCAGAGUCCAAAGACCUACUUCAUACAAAUAUUCAGGAGUUUUCACAGGCCUGGGCCAAGCAGGGGCUGGAGAGGGCAUAUGCCCCAGGGUUAUGGGGGCAGCAAAACAGCAUGUAAUAUCAAAAGCUGCUAGGAGACAAGACACCCCAAAGUGUCCCUAUUUUCCAGGGACAGCCCCAGAUUUCUGAUUUAAUCCCGGAAUGUCCCACUGUUGCUUAGGACAUGCAUAUUUUCGUCAGAGAAAUGUUGGAGGGUACAGAGUUAUGUGACACCUCCAAAGCCAAGGAGAUGAGUAAACUAUGCAACCUUUAGAAGACAUCUGAAAGCAAUCUUGUAUAGGGAAGUUUUAUAAUGUUUAAUGUUUUAUUGAAGACAGGAGUGCCUGGCGUGCUCUGGUCCAUGGGGUCAUGAAGAGUCGGACACGACUAAACGACUAAACAACAAACAACAAUGUUUUAUUAUGUUUUUAUAUAUGUUGGAAGUUGCCCAGAGUGGCUGGGGCUACUCAGUCAGAUGGGUGGGGUAUACAUGGAAUAAUAAUAAUAAUAGUAAUAGUAGUAAUAAUAAUGAAUAAUAAUAAUAAUAGGACAUCCCUAUUUUUAUUUACAGAUUUACGGAUUUACGUAUAAGCUAAACAAGCUAUAGCUUAGGGCCCCGCUCUCUUGGGGCCCCCCAAAAAAAUUAAAGGAAAAAAACUGUUUGUACAUUUCUAAAAUAUAAGAUGAAAACGAAUAAAAUAAAACCUACAUACAGCAACAGUGUUUUGUGUUGUGUAGGCUCCUAUAAUGUAAGUAAUCGGCAAAAAUAAAUACAGUAAAUGGACAAAAGUAUAAAGAUUCACAAAAUGUUUAGGGGUAUGUGUAUCCCUGCGUACCCCCAGAAAAAAAGCACUGGAUAGAUAGAUAGAUAGAUAGAUAGAUAAGAUGAUAUAGAUAUAGAUAUAGAUAUAGAUAUAGAUAUAGAUAUAGAUAUAGAUGAUAUAGAUAUAGAUAUGUGAUGGGAAAAUAUGAAAUGGCACACUGACGCAACAUCAUCUAAGCUCCCCACAAACAAUUCAGAAUGGAUGCUCCUUAAACAGUCAACAUCGUCUAAUCUCUUUGCAGACAAAUCAGAAUAAAUGCCCAAGGCACAGGUUAUCUGGAAGCACCAGUGAAAUCAGACGACUUUAACUUCCAGCCUCUACCUCUUCA